UCACAAGAGGAGGGAAGGUGUCAAA
rnacentral:piRNA from 1 species